rnacentral:sRNA from 1 species
GACGAACGCUGGCGGCGCGCUUCACACAUGCAAGUCGAACGAGAAGCCCGGGCUUGCCCGGGUGGACAGUGGCGAACGGGUGAGUAACACGUGAGCAACCUGCCCCGAAGACCGGGAUAACACCGGGAAACCGGUGCUAAUACCGGAUGUCUUCGCCGAACCGCAUGAUUCGGCGAAGAAAUGGUCAGCCGCUUCGGGAUGGGCUCGCGGCCUAUCAGCUUGUUGGUGGGGUCACGGCCCACCAAGGCGACGACGGGUAGCUGGUCUGAGAGGAUGUCCAGCCACACUGGGACUGAGACACGGCCCAGACUCCUACGGGAGGCAGCAGUGGGGAAUCUUGCGCAAUGGGCGAAAGCCUGACGCAGCGACGCCGCGUGCGGGAUGAAGGCCUUCGGGUUGUAAACCGCUUUCAGCAGGGACGAAAUUGACGGUACCUGUAGAAGAAGCCCCGGCCAACUACGUG